UUCCGGUUGAUCCUGCCGGACCUGACUGCUAUCGGAUUGAUACUAAGCCAUGCGAGUCGUUGUAGCAAUACAAGGCAUACGGCUCAGUAACGCGUAGUCAACCUAACCUAUGGACGGGAAUAACCUCGGGAAACUGAGAAUAAUGCCCGAUAGAACACUAUACCUGGAAUGGUUUGUGUUCCAAAUGAUUUAUCGCCAUAGGAUGGGACUGCGGCCUAUCAGUUUGUUGGUGAGGUAAUGGCCCACCAUGACUAUUACAGGUACGGGCUCUGAGAGGAGUAGCCCGGAGAUGGGUACUGAGACACGGACCCAGGCCCUAUGGGGCGCAGCAGGCGAGAAAACUUUGCAAUGUGCGAAAGCACGACAAGGUUAAUCCGAGUGAUUUGUGCUAAACGAAUCUUUUGUUAGUCCUAGAAACACUAACGAAUAAGGGGUGGGCAUGUUCUGGUGUCAGCCGCCGCGGUAAAACCAGCACCUCAAGUGGUCAGGAUGAUUAUUGGGCCUAAAGCAUCCGUAGCCGGCUCUGUAAGUUUUCGGUUAAAUCUGUACGCUUAACGUACAGGCUGCCGGGAAUACCGCAGAGCUAGGGAGUGGGAGAGGUAGACGGUACUCGGUAGGAAGUGGUAAAAUGCUUUGAUCUAUCGAUGACCACCUGUGGCGAAGGCGGUCUACCAGAACACGUCCGACGGUGAGGGAUGAAAGCUGGGGGAGCAAACCGGAUUAGAUACCCGGGUAGUCCCAGCUGUAAACUAUGCAAACUCAGUGAUGCAUUGGCUUGUGGCCAAUGCAGUGCUGCAGGGAAGCCGUUAAGUUUGCCGCCUGGGAAGUACGUACGCAAGUAUGAAACUUAAAGGAAUUGGCGGGGGAGCACCACAAGGGGUGAAGCCUGCGGUUCAAUUGGAUUCAACGCCGGG
rnacentral:rRNA from 1 species